rnacentral:rRNA from 1 species
AGUCUGGUGCCAGCCGCCGCGGUAAUUCCAGCUCCACUAGCGUAUAUUAAAGUUGUUGCGGUUGAAACGCUCGUAGUUUGACUUCUGCUCCGGACCGGCGGUCCGCCUUAGCGGCGGCUACUGCCGGGUUCCGAGCUGUGUCCCGCCGGCGCACAUGGGGUUUUUAUGCCCUUAACCGGGUGUCCCCUUGUGGCCGGCACGUUUACUUUGAAAAAAUUAGAGUGCUCAGAGCAGGCUGGUUUUUGCUUACAGCCCGAAUGGUCGUGCAUGGAAUGAUGGAACAGGACCUCGGUUCUAUUUUGUCGGUUUUUCGGAACCCGAGGUAAUGAUUAAUAGAAGCAGACGGGGCAUUCGUACUGCGACGCUAGAGGUGAAAUUCUUAGACCGUCGCAUGACGACCUACUGCGAAAGCAUCUGCCAAGGAUGUUUUCAUUGAUCAAGAACGAAAGUUAGAGGUUCGAAGGCGAUCAGAUACCGCCCUAGUUCUAACCUUAAACGAUGCUGACUAGCGAUCCGCCGCAGUUAUUCCCAUGACCCGGCGGGUAGCUUCCGGGAAACCAAAGUCUUUGAGUUCCGGGGAAGUAUGGUUGCAAAGCUGAAACUUAAAGGAAUUGACGGAAGGGCACCACCAGGAGUGGAGCCUGCGGCUCAAUUUGACUCAACACGGGGAAACUCACCAGGCCAGGACACCGGAAGGAUUGACAGAAUGAAGGCUCUUUCUCGAUUCGGUGGGUGGUGGUGCAUGGCCGUUCUUAGUUGGUGGAGUGAUCUGUCUGGUUAAUUCCGAUAACGAACGAGACUCUAGCCUGCUAAAUAGUCGACGGAUCUCAACCCGUUGCCCCGUUGUCGUUCGCGGCGAUGCGGGCGCGGGUUCCCGAAACCCGGUCGUCGUGCGGGCCUCCACCGUCGGUCGGUUAGCGCCGCCGGCGGCGCGCCCGCGGCGCCGGAAACUGGCGUCCGCUUCGCAGUCUUCUUCUUAGAGGAUAAGCGGCAGCAAAAAAUAUACUAGCCGCACGAGAGUUUGAGCCAUAACAGGUCUGUGAUGCCCUUAGAUGUUCUGGGCCGCACGCGCGCUACAAUGGAGAGUUCAGCGAGCUGGCCCUGCUCCGAGAGGAGCGGGUAACCUCGUGAAAGCUGUCCUUAAAGGGAUUGGGGCUUGCAAAUGUUCCCAUGAACGAGGAAUUCCCAGUAGGCGCAAUUCACCAGAUUGCGCCGAUUUAGUCCCUGCCCUUUGUACACACCGCCCGUCGCUACUACCGAUUGAAUGGUCUAGUGAGGGCACCGGACUGGCGCCCUUGGAGCCGCUACCGCCUCGGCGGGCAGCGCCCUCGGGUCGACGGAAAGGUGUCCAAGCUGGGUCAUUUAGAGGAAGUAAAAGUCGUAACAAGGUUUCCGUAGGUGAACCUGCGGAAG